AUUGAACGCUGGCGGCAUGCUUUACACAUGCAAGUCGAACGGUAGAGGGGGCAACCCCUUGAGAGUGGCGAACGGGUGAGUAAUGCAUCGGAAAGUGCCCAGUCGUGGGGGAUAGCGCAGCGAAAGCUGUGCUAAUACCGCAUACGAUCUCUGGAUGAAAGCGGGGGACCGAAAGGCCUCGCGCGAUUGGAGCGGACGAUGUCAGACUAGGUAGUUGGUGGGGUAAAGGGCUACAAAGCCAACGAUCUGUAGCUGGUCGGAGAGGACGACCAGCCACACUGGGACUGAGACACGGCCCAGACUCCUACGGGAGGCAGCAGUGAGAAAUUUUGGACAAUGGGCGCAAGCCUGAUCCAGCAAUGCCGCGUGCAGGAAGAAGGCCUUCGGGUUGUAAACUGCUUUUGUACGGAACGAAACGGUCUGGGUUAAUACCCUGGGCUAAUGACGGUACCGUAAGAAUAAGCACCGGCUAACUACGUGCCAGCCGCCGCCGUAA
rnacentral:rRNA from 1 species